AUCUUUCUGGAGAUCCCUGCCUAGUAGAGGCCUUCUAAAGAAUUUACAAGCCAUUACCCAUCACAUCUAGAACAUUACUGGAGCUGUCGAGAUAAAGGAAUCAGCGUAGAAACAUUGUUCCACUGGGAAAUGUAAAAUGGCAUAAAGUUGGUCCCUCAACAGCCAAGCUGUCAGAUCCUUUGAGGAGCGGAAACAGGGAACCCACACAGCAUAUGGUGGUAGUUGGCUGUUCCCAGGGAAAGCUGUCUGGCUCUCUUAAAAUACAGACAGCCAAAGCAUUUGAGAAGUACUAAGAGGUGCUCCAGCCCUCUGAUCGUCUUUGUGACCCUCCUCUGGAUCCAUUCCAAUAGCUUCAACAGCUUCCAUAGAAGGGGUGCGAACAGUGGACUGUUGAUUAUCUACUCAGUCACUGGCUGUCUCCUUGGCUCUACCAUGGACCUUCCUGACUGUCUCUAUCACCCAGAAUUUGGAACAGUUCCAGGACGGUAUUCUCCAAGGACAAUAGCUUAGAGGCUGUGUAAGCAAGCCUCCUCGCUCCUUCCUCCUUUCCUCAUAAACAGUCUUCCAAAAAACCCAGAGCUGGGUCCUAUAUAGCGUGCAUGGGGUUAAUCUUCUCUAGAAGGAGUGAAGCCUAAGCAGAGUUCACAUAGCCCAGUCUGUGCGAUAUGGACUAAAGACCAAGGUUUGGUGCCUGGCUUGUUUAUUGUACAUGCUAAAUAGUACAUUUAUAGUACAUAUGUUAGUUCACGGCACUGUGGUACGUGCUAAAGCUAAAUCUUAGUCCUCAGUUUGAAUCUUAAUUUCAUUACUGUUCAUGAACAAUCUUGAGUAGUGUUUCAUGUAGCCACUAAGCCUAUGGGCUUUUUAGGAUCAUUGUAAGGAGGUGAGAUCUUGUAUCACAUUUAUCUAUACUGUAAAAUGUACUUGAACAGGACUGCUUCAGGUAAUCUCUUUCAGAAACGAAAGUUGUGCUGA
ensembl:lncRNA